ACACGCAUGACACACUGCAUAUCAAUAAGCGGAGGAAAAGAAACUAACAAGGAUUCCCCUAGUAACGGCGAGUGAAGCGGGAAGAGCUCAAAUUUGAAAUCUUAAAGGGUUUCCCUUUACGAAUUGUAGUUUAAAGAAGUGUUUUCUGUUGGAGUUUCGGUAAAAGUUCUUUGGAAUAGGACAUCAUAGAGGGUGAGAAUCCCGUAUUUGACCGUUACUUUCCAGCUGUGUGAUACACUCUCAAAGAGUCGGAUUGUUUGGGAAUGCAGUCCAAAGUGGGUGGUAAAUUUCAUCUAAAGCUAAAUAUUGGCGAGAGACCGAUAGCGAACAAGUACCGUGAGGGAAAGAUGAAAAGAACUUUGAAAAGAGAGUUAAACAGUACGUGAAAUUGUCAAAAGGGAAGCGUUUGACACCAGUGUUGUUUAGUUGAAAAUCAAUUCAAUAAUUUUUGAUUUUGAGUAGUAUUGACUUCAUCAGCUUGCUGCUUUCUUUUCGGAAAUUAUUGAAUGCACUUUUCAGUUAACAAGUCAACAUCAAUUUCUUUUGUUGUAAAAGGGUAAGAGGAAGGUGGCUUACGCUUCGGCGUAAGUGUUUAUAGCCUUUUACCUCUGCAAUCGGAGAGAUUGAGGACAGCAGCGUAGACUCUUCGGGGUUAGAUACACUUGUGCUAAGCUAUAGCCUUGUAUAGACAACUUGUUGACUAUGCUCAGUCAUGUAGCUUACUCGCAUGUGCUAUUUUACCUACGCUUAGGAUGUUGAACUACUGAGACAUAGA
rnacentral:rRNA from 1 species